AGGGUUUGAUUCUGGCUCAGGAUGAACGCUGGCGGCGUGCCUAACACAUGCAAGUCGAACGAGGUAAAUAAGAUGAAGUUUUCGGAUGGAUUUUUAUUUACCGAGUGGCGGACGGGUGAGUAACGCGUGGGUAACCUGCCUCAUACAGGGGGAUAACGGUUAGAAAUGACUGCUAAUACCGCAUAAGCGCACAGUACCGCAUGGUACGGUGUGAAAAACUCCGGUGGUAUGAGAUGGACCCGCGUCUGAUUAGCUAGUUGGUGAGGUAACGGCCCACCAAGGCGACGAUCAGUAGCCGACCUGAGAGGGUGACCGGCCACAUUGGGACUGAGACACGGCCCAG
rnacentral:rRNA from 1 species